rnacentral:lncRNA from 1 species
CGAAAUAAACAUUAUUCAGGCCAAAAGGAGGAGCAGGGAGCCUGAGAAGCUUGGAGCCCAGGAACCUAAAAAAGUCUCCUCCCACACUGAAUACGGCUAACCUGUGUAAACACCCGAGACUGUGGAAACGACAGUGCAUGGCUGUGGCUGUCUCACUCUGUUGCCCAGGCUAUAGUGCAGAGGUGUGACCACGGCUCACUGCAACCUUGAUUUCCUGGCCUCAAGCGAUCCUCCUACCUCAGCAUCCUGAGUAGCUGGGACUACAGGCGUGUGCCAUGAUGCCUGGCUAAUUGAAUUCCACUCUGCAGACAACACAAGCCUUUGUAGGUUUACAGCAAUGAACCGUUGGGGCCACCUUGGUACUUGUGAAAGAGAAGGCUUCCCCUGGAGGAGGAAAUGGGCCAGGGUCCAGGUGAGAAAACUGAAGCUCAGAGACACAAAGUGCCUAACUCCAAGUCCUACAGCUAGCAAAUGGUAGAGCAGGGAUCUGUACCAAUAACCCAGGUGCAUCUGACUCUACAGUUCAUCUUAACGCAGCAGCACUCGAGGCUGUGCAGAGCCCCUACCUGAAGUGCUUGGUACUGAC